CUUUGCUAUCUUAAAUUUUCUCAUCUUUUCAUGAACACUUGAUUAAGGACUUCAACUAACUCCUCCUUUUUAUUCUUCUAAUUUUCUCUAAUAUCCAUUGAACUCUGGAAUGGAUAAAGAUGAAGAAGCAUUGAAUAUGUGUAAACUACUGGAUGGAGCAGCAGAAGAAGGAAGAAGGGUCGUGGCAUCUCGAAUUUCGUGAGGAUUAGGGAACUCGUGAAGAAAUCAGAUGAAGGAGAAGAGACAGAGAGGGUAAAAUAUUAUUAUUAUUAUUAUUAUUAUUAUUGCAUUUGGUACGUUAAAAAUAAUUUUCUUUCUUCUUAUUUAUUUUAUCUUAAAAUCUUUUGGAGUACAUCAAAAGCAAAAGAGGAAAAGUGAAAAAGUGAAAA